UCUAUGGCCAGAAAAAUCGGA
rnacentral:misc_RNA from 1 species